GUGAGGAAUAUUGCGCAAUGGACGAAAGUCUGACGCAGCCAUGCCGCGUGAAGGAUUGACGGCCCUAUGGGUUGUAAACUUCUUUUGUAUAGGAAUAAACCCUCGUUCGUGAACGAGGCUGAAGGUACUAUAAGAAUAAGCACCGGCUAACUCCGUGCCAGCAGCCGCGGUAAUACGGAGGGUGCAAGCGUUAUCCGGAUCUAUUGGGUUUAAAGGGUCCGUAGGCGGAUCGUUAAGUCAGUGGUGAAAUCCUACCGCUCAACGGUAGAACUUCCAUUGAUACUGGCGAUCUUGAGUAUGUAUGAAGUUGGCGGAAUGUGUGGUGUAGCGGUGAAAUGCUUAGAUAUCACACAGAACACCGAUUGCGAAGGCAGCUGACUAAUACACAACUGACGCUGAGGGACGAAAGUGUGGGGAUCAAACAGGAUUAGAUACCCGAGUAGUCC
rnacentral:rRNA from 1 species